GGCGAUUGCUGACCUCAAUGUGGUACUGCCUUCUAUGACGGCUCAUUCACAACUCCAUCAACUCUGAUUGUCCAAUUUCAUCAAUGAGUGUGACACUGCUAUCAUACACUAUAGCUAUUUAUAGUGCAACACACAAAGUUUCAUGCAGAAUUUGAAGUCUAUACAUCAGUUCAUUCUCGAGAUAUCGUGGAGACAGGCAAAAAUGGAAUCUUUCCAGCCCCUCAUUUAAGAGACUUCGCUACUGGUAAUACUAUUUCUGUAUUCAUUGAAGGAGAGACUCAAUUUUAUGUUAUAGUACACUGUAAUCUCGGAAAAAAUAUAUGUAUUGAAUUUUA